GGAAAAUUCAAUGGCAGCCAGGCAAUACAAGAAGACUUCGAGUUUAGAUUGAACUCACCGCCCAUAAGGAAGAGCAGUCCUGCCACAUACUGCAUGAGGCCGCGGUCCCAGCAGCAUCCCAGCAUCCCGAUGAUCCAGCCGAAGAGAAUGAUGGCCACCGCCAUUCCCAUAAACCCUGCCGUCAUCCUCCGCAGAUCUGAAAUCAACACAUGUAAACCAUUCAGAGAUGAUGAGGACACAAGAAACAUCCACUACUGUGGAGCAUUACUACUGCUAUUUCCUCAGCUGCCUCCAGCCGUCCUCCUCCACUUCCCUACGUGGCAAAACCCCCCACGCCUCCGCUUUGUUCACCUGAUUGUGUGCGCAAACCUGUGCCAGGCUUCACCAGGGAGAACAGAAAGACAAACAGCGAGGUGAACAAUGAGUCCAGGCCGCAAACAUUGGCCGCUGUGGUGAAUGGCAACAUUUAUCAGUCUUGUGGAAACACUGAAGACGGCUGAAUGUUGUUAUGAGCAGGCCUUGUGCUUUCUAGCAUUCAGGGAAAUUAUAACAGGCCUGCAGCAGCGACAGGAAAAUAAUUACACAUUUUAAUUAGGAAGAAGUAUACCGGUGGCUUAUUUUCAGAGUGAUUUCCAGGGACUGCAGAGUUAGAGGAAAUGGCUGAAAUGGCAUUGACGACUGUUUUUAGUAACAUAAUGGCACAUUUCAAGGUUUCAUGUAACAUUAGAGUUGUUGGGUUGAGAAAAGUGUGCUGUUUGGAAGGUAAAGGGUUAAAAAAGGGUUUAAUUUACUGAAAUAUGCACAUUGAUGAGUUGUGCAUGAUAAAUAAAUGUUUAGAGUUAGACUCAAAUGCCGUAUAAUUCAUAAAUGUGACAUUUUAGUUGAUGAAAGGGCAGAUUUUCAAUAAAAUCAUUUAGUCGCAGACAGUUUUAGU
rnacentral:lncRNA from 1 species